UGAACUUUAGAAUUGUUUUAUUUGUUUCUGUAAAAAUGUCAUUAGAUCUCCUUAGGACCUCAGGUUGACAUCACGGUGGCCACUCUUUCCUUGAGGGAUGCAAUGGGC